UACCCUAAAAAAUUAGAAGAUGCGGUCGUCCUCUAUAUCUGUAACAACAUACUCUAAACGGUUCUCUAUAUAUAGAGGACACUGUUAGAUCCUAUAGAGGACACUGUUGGAUCCUCUAUAUAUAGUUUCUUUCUCCUCUAUCCAUUAUACUCUCUCUGUCCUAAAAUAUAUUUUGUUUUAGACUAAAUAUACAUUCAUCAAUUAACUUAUGAAUAUAGUUUGUAUGUAUGUCUAUAUUCAUUAUCAUUCAUUUGAAUGUGGACAGAAAAAAUGUUAGAAAAAACUAAAUUUUAGGAUAGGAGUAAUAUUUUAAACAACGGAUUUAGUAAAACUAAAAUUUAUAUGAUAAAAUAUUAAAAAUACAUACCUCUAAAAGUUAAAAAUAAAAUAGGUCUUUAAUAAAAUAUUUACAUAUAAAGGACGAGAUAUGAUGCCGUUAAAGAGAAAUGAGAUAAGAAAUGAGAUAUAAAUGAAGAGUUUUUUUUAGAGAAAACCAUAAAAAAACGAAUUUAAAGAUGGAAUUUUGGUGAUAUCGCGGGAGACUCUAAUGUUGGGCCAUUAACUUCAUAGUUUUGGUUCAUUAAAUCUUACGUAUUAGUUUUUCUCGAUUCGUCGGACAGUCAGGCUCGGGCUUCGUUUCAGUCUUACAGAUAUCAAUCGCAAUUCGCACCUCCUAUCAAAAAAAAAAAAAAAAUCGUUCGCACCUCCUUUGUGCCGCCGCCGCCGCCGCCGCCGAAGAGCGAGUGUCCCGCCGACUUUGCGCUGCGCACCACGGGGCGCCGGGAGCGUGCUUCACUAGACGCCAGGUUAUACUCCUCCUUGAUCAGGUUGGCCAGCUUGGGCAAGAGAGUGCCCAUCGCCCCGGUGACUAUCUCCGCCAUGGUUGCUCAGUCAGAGCUCUUACCGACCAGCACCACUAGUUGUAAAGUGGCUAGCGAUAAAAUUCUAUAAUGGAUGGAGACAGAAUCCGACCAGGGAUAGUGGUCUCUCGUGGAAAGCUUCGAAUGUCACAUCAGUUGGACUUUAUCUAUAUACACCAGCAAGACUAGCUGUAAAGUAUUUCGUUAAUCAAGAAAGGUUUAUCUAAAUACAGUUUUACUUUACAUUAGCAUAUCUAGAAGACUGGAGCAAGGAUGUUGAAGUUGCACAUUUUUUUUAGAUUUGCGUGUUUUUAUUUACCCGAAGUUUUAUCGUAUGCCCGAUUUGAUGAGGCAAUGAGUGCAAAAUAAAGCAAACGACUUUGACUUA